GGCUCGGUAGUGGAUGGUCCACAUCUGUUUCUUAUUCCGAUGUGCUCCGUCAUUGCAAGCAGGAGGAGCCUAUUCGAAUCAGGCCUGAGCCA